CGACUGUUUACCAAAAACACAGCUCCCUGCAAACUCGUAAGAGGAAGUAUAGGGGGUGAUGCCUGACCAAUGCGAGAAGGUUAACGUUGGCGUUCCUAUGGAGCAAUCUGUAGGGGUGACUGACCGAAGCCCUCGUCAAUGUCGGCCGUAACUAUAGAAAUUUGUCCGUUGUAGUUACGUUAAAAAAUCUGGCUAUAUGCUGGAAACUCCGCAAUGCAUCUUCAGAUACUAAAUUGGCCCAAACCAGGUUUAGGUCAAUGAGUGAAAAUUCUAGAAGUGACGCGGACAAUCAGCAGGCAACCUUGUUCAACACUCGGUGUUGGCAAGAGAGUCCUCAGAGACUAUACGCCGGACUCCGAUUUCGAUCGGAGAAGAUAUAGUCCGAUCUCAUGGGCGACCAUGAGCUAACAUAAAUAAACGGUCCUAAGGUGGAAUGCCUGCCUUAGUAAAAUCUUGCUAUAUCGGUGAACAUCCCAAUUAUUCCGAGUGUUGGGACAAUACCGAGGGAAGUCUUGUGGACUUCGUUGAGGAAAAAUUCCUCAAAAUUAUGGUCGCGUAACUCAAAGUCAGAGUACCCAACUGGGACUUGGGGUGAUGGAGGGUAACGAUCUCCCGCGGCCACCAAAUUCGAGGCGAACAAAGUUCGCCUCCUCAACGAAGUUCAUGAGACCCCGUAGAGACUACACGCAGGGCUCCAACUUUGGCAAAUAGCAAAGUGGAGAAGAUAUAGUCCGAACUGCAUAGUAAUAUGCAGAGGUAGACAGAAAUGUUCUACCCAAUUUCUAGAAAUUUAUUCUAGAAAGUUGUAACACUUUUGAGCGAAAUUCCUUGUCUGGUGAGUUCAGACGCGCACGAAAGGUAUAACGACUGGGGGACUGUCUCGGGGAUUUACUCGGUGAAAAUGCGAUACCGGUGAAGAUGCCGGUUAAGUGCAGUUAGACGAAAAGACCCCGGAAGCUUUACUGCAAGUUGUUAUUGGCUUUACGUUUUUACUACGUAGCGUAGUGGGUAGGCUUUGAAACCCCGCUUUUGGGCGGGGUGGAGCCGCCGAUGAAACACCCAUUUUUAAAAAUGUAAAAUCUAACCUGUCCGGCAAAACCGGGUGGGGACAGUAGCUGCUGGGCAGUUUGUGUGGGGCGCAAGCCUCCUAAAAAGUAACGGAGGCGUUUAUUAAGGUCGGC
rnacentral:rRNA from 1 species